rnacentral:rRNA from 1 species
GACGAACGCUGGCGGCGUGCUUAACACAUGCCAGUCGAACGGAAAGGCCCUGCUUGCAGGGUACUCGAGUGGCGAACGGGUGAGUAACACGUGGGUGAUCUGCCCUGCACUUCGGGAUAAGCCUGGGAAACUGGGUCUAAUACCGGAUAGGAGCCAUUUUUAGUGUGAUGGUUGGAAAGUUUUUUCGGUGUAGGAUGAGCUCGCGGCCUAUCAGCUUGUUGGUGGGGUAAUGGCCUACCAAGGCGGCGACGGGUAGCCGGCCUGAGAGGGUGGACGGCCACAGUGGGACUGAGAUACGGCCCAGACUCCUACGGGAGGCAGCAGUGGGGAAUAUUGCACAAUGGGCGCAAGCCUGAUGCAGCGACGCCGCGUGGGGGAGGACGGCCUUCGGGUUGUAAACUCCGUUCGCUAGGGACGAAGCUUUUUGUGACGGUACCUAGAUAAGAAGCACCGGCUAACUACGUG